rnacentral:rRNA from 1 species
GGACCCGCACAAGCGGUGGAGCAUGUGGUUUAAUUCGAUGCAACGCGAAGAACCUUACCUGGCCUUGACAUCCACGGAAUUCUGCAGAGAUGUGGAAGUGCCUUCGGGAACCGUGAGACAGGUGCUGCAUGGCUGUCGUCAGCUCGUGUCGUGAGAUGUUGGGUUAAGUCCCGCAACGAGCGCAACCCUUGUCCUUAGUUGCCAUCAUUCAGUUGGGAACUCUAAGGAGACCGCCGGUGACAAACCGGAGGAAGGUGGGGAUGACGUCAAGUCAUCAUGGCCUUUAUGGCCAGGGCUACACACGUGCUACAAUGGCAGGUACAGAGGGAAGCCAACCGGCGACGGGGAGCUAAUCCCAGAAAGCCUGUCGUAGUCCGGAUCGGAGUCUGCAACUCGACUCUGUGAAGUUGGAAUCGCUAGUAAUCGCAGAUCAGCAUUGCUGCGGUGAAUACGUUCCCGGGUCUU